UACGGAGGGGGCUAGCGUUGUUCGGAAUUACUGGGCGUAAAGGGUGCGUAGGCGGCUAUCCAAGUCAGACGUGAAAGGCCUGGGCUCAACCUGGGAACUGCGUUUGAGACUGGGUGGCUGGAGUCCGGGAGAGGUGAGCGGAAUUCCCAGUGUAGAGGUGAAAUUCGUAGAUAUUGGGAAGAACACCGGUGGCGAAGGCGGCUCACUGGACCGGUACUGACGCUGAGGCACGAAAGCGUGGGGAGCAAACAGG
rnacentral:rRNA from 1 species